GAUGAACGCUGACAGCAUGCUUAACACAUGCAAGUCGAAGUGGCGUACGGUUGAGUAACGCGUAAAGAACUUGCCUCACAGAUAGGGACAACAUUUGGAAACGAAGGCUAAUACCUGAUACUGUGAGAGAGCUUUGCGUCCCAUUAGCUAGUUGGAGAGGUAACGGCUCACAAAGGCGAUGAUGGGUAGCCGGCCUGAGAGGGUGAUCGGCCACAAGGGGAAUGAGACACGGCCGUUACGCCUACGGGUGGCAGAAGUGGGGAAUAGUGGACAACGGACCAAAGUCUGAUCCAGUAAUUCUGUGUGCACGAUGAAGUUUUCGGAAUGUAAAGUGCUUUCAGUUGGGAAGCGGUACCAACAGAAGAAGUGACGGCUAAAUACGUGCCAGCAGCCGCGGUAAUUC
rnacentral:rRNA from 1 species